CUUCUACUUUAUUAUGUAUUCCGUUAAUGUUUUAAAUAAAUAUUGGUUUCUGAUAUACUAUUAUCGUUUUAGUAAUAAAAUAAGACAGUUUAAAUUAUAAAAAAAUAAACAUUUAUUGUAAAAAUAACUAUUUAAUCCAAUUUAUUCAGGAAAAAAGAAGCAAAUAUAACUCAUAAAUUAUGAUGUAUUUUUACUCCAGUAUUAUAUCAUACGAUAACUCUUAUUUUAUAUAGAGACUCUAAAUCGUAAACGGUAUAAUUUUUUUUAUAUUUUAUUGUUUACAUCAAUCCUAUAUAAUCUACUAUCCUAGAUACAGUACACAUCUCAUACAAUGUUGUUCCCAUAGCAACGAUUUCUCAGGAGAGUCAUAAUGGCAUCCAGCAGGCAUGAUUGUCUGGCGGUGCUUCCUCAUUGUCAACAAUGAUAGUAUUACCACCAUUUGCUAAGCAGCGUAAAUGGCGAAUGAAUAGAUAUUGUAAACUAAAUGAUGUUUCUAUAAAUUGCACUUUAAAUUUAAAUGCGCUUAUUUCCUUAUUAUUACGCUUUUCUUCCUUCCAGGCCUUAUAUAUUCUAUUAGGUAGCAUAUAAGAGUAUUUUAAAAUAAAUAAUUGAAAUUUUUUAUGUGCUGUUUUUUAAGUGGGCGUUUAUUUAUCACAUGAUAUGUCAACCACUUCCCUAAGGACAGUAAUAGAAGUACAAAACAUUGCUGCACUAUCCACUGACAUCCUGCGAUAGGGAGUUUUCUCUCUGCUGGGGUGAAAGAUUAAGUGUUAAAAAGCUAUAAUAAAUCUUUGAUCAAAUGAUACGUAUGUCUGAUUUAUAUAUAUAUAUUGCAAUGUUUAGCAAUUAUCUGGAAAUGAAGAAAUUUUAUCUAUAUUUCUUAUAUCAAAUAAAAAUUACAUAUUUGGAUUAUAUAUUUGCAUCUUUUGUCAAAGAAAGGUGUCUCGGCAUCUAUUCAUGUCGCAAAAGAGGCGGUUCUUUGCACACAUCUACAAAAUUUACAUGCAAUGAAUAAUUCAGUUAAUUACUGCUUCAUGUUAUUAAGUUCAGUUCAUUUGUUAGCUACUUUAAACGAUAGAGAAGGUAGAACAGAGUAAUUAAAAUGAUUCAACUAUCUUUCCAUAGAGACUAAAACAAGAAAAAUGCAUUUUUUUCCUCCUGUUAAAAAU
rnacentral:lncRNA from 1 species